GCCUGCUGGAAGAUGAGAGACCAUGUGGAGUGGAGCCAAGUCAUCUCAUCCAAGGUCAUUCUAGACCAACCAACCCCCAGCAAACCCAAUAGGUGUUUAUAGAUUCAUGAACAAGUUCAAGUGAGAUUAGCCUAGCCUCGCCCCAGUCAAAAGAACUGACCAGGUGACCCACAGAGUCAUGAGAAAUAAAUGGUGGUUCCUUUAGGCCACUGAGUUUUGGAAUGGUGUGUUAUAUAGAAUUAUUGUGACAGUAACUAAUUUAUGUACAUUGGUACCGAUUUCCUACUGCUUCAUAACAAUUAUUGGAAACUUAGUGGAUUAAAACAACAGAAAUUUAUUAUCUCAUAGUUUCUGAGGGUCAGAGAUUUGGGAGUGGGUUAGCUGGGUCCUCUGCUCUGUUCUUAUUAAGCUGAAAUCAAGAUGUUAGCCAGGACUUCAAUCUCAUCUGAGGUUUGGGGUCCUCUUCCAAGCUCAUUGGUUACUGGAUGAAUUCCAUUCCUUUCACACAGGACUGAGGCCUUCAGUGCCUAGAGGCUGCCUACCGUUUCCUGCCACCCGGGUCCCUCUGAGACUUGGUAGUUUACUUCUUCAAGGCCAACAGAUGAACAUCUGAUGUUUCAAAUCUCUGUGACUUCUUCCGUCUCUGCUAUCUAGGCCCCUUCAUAAAAAUCCAAGCUGAGUAGGUCACGCCCAUCCAGGGUUCUCUCCCUUUUGAUUACCUUAAAGUCAACUGAUUAAAGUCAACUCCUUACUUCUUACUGUGUAAAAUAACUUCAUCACAAAAUCACAUCCCGUUAUAUUUACAGGUCCUAUCCAAAACUUAUGGGGAAGGGACUUCAUAGAGUGUGUGCACUGGGAGAUGGAAAUCUUAGGAGUCAAUUUAGAACCCAAGAUUAUACAAAUAAUUUUUAAAGCCCCAUCACCACCCAUUCCUUCAGGAUCAAAUCAGUUAUCGAGACCAAUCAAUUCUACUUUGGCGAUACCCAUCAAUGUGUCCAGUUCAGUGCAUCCACCAUAGAUAAGACGCUUCCCAACAAUGUAGGCUGCCCGCUGGAGAUCAAGACCGAGCUGAGACCAAGAGUCAGACGCCUAACCGACUGAGCCACUCAGGCACCUUUGUUGUUUUUAAAGAAAACCACCAUACGGUAUGUACAACUUUCCAUCUUUAUUAUUUUACUUAAUAUUCAUCAUUAUACAUUUUUACGUGCAUUUUCUAGCCUUUCAA
rnacentral:lncRNA from 1 species